CGUGUGAAGCUCAAUUGGUCGAGCAGAACGUUGAAGUUGUUUUGGUUGUAAGUUCGAGUCUUACCUCGACGC
rnacentral:tRNA from 1 species